AUGACGGUACCGGAGAAGAAGCCCGGCUAACUUCGUGCCAGCAGCCGCGGUAAUACGAGGGGGGCGAGCGUUGUUCGGAAUUAUUGGGCGUAAAGGGUGCGUAGGCGGUUUUGUAAGUCUUAUGUGAAAUCUAUGGGCUCAACUCAUAGACUGCAUGAGAAACUGCAGGGCUUGAGUAUGGGAGAGGUGAGUGGAAUCCUGGUGUAGCGGUGAAAUGCGUAGAUAUCAGGAGGAACACCUGUGGCGAAAGCGGCUCACUGGACCAUAACUGACGCUGAUGCACGAAAGCUAGGGGAGCAAACAGGAUUAGAUACCCUGGUAGUCCUAGCCCUAAACGAUGACUGCUUGGUGUGACGGGUACCCAAUCCCGCCGUGCCGUAGCUAACGCGUUAAGCAGUCCGCCUGGGGAGUACGGUCGCAAGGCUGAAACUCAAAGGAAUUGACGGGGGCCCGCACAAGCGGUGGAGCAUGUGGUUUAAUUCGACGCAACGCGAAGAACCUUACCUGGGCUCGAAAUGUUAUGGACCGGAGUGGAAACAUUCCUUCCCCGCAAGGGGCCGUAAUAUAGGUGCUGCAUGGCUGUCGUCAGCUCGCGUCGUGAGAUGUUGGGUUAAGUCCCGCAACGAGCGCAACCCUUAUCUUCAGUUGCUACCAUUUAGUUGAGCACUCUGACGAAACCGCCUCGGAUAACGGGGAGGAAGGUGGGGAUGACGUCAAGUCCUCAUGGCCUUUAUGUCCAGGGCUACACACGUGCUACAAUGGCCGGUACAAACCGUCGCAAACCCGUGAGGGGGAGCUAAUCGGAAAAAGCCGGCCUCAGUUCGGAUCGUAGUCUGCAACUCGACUACGUGAAGCUGGAAUCGCUAGUAAUCGCGGAUCAGAAUGCCGCGGUGAAUACGUUCCCGGGCCUUGUACGCACCGCCCGUCACAUCACGAAAGUGGGUUGCACUAGAAGUCGGUAAGCCAACCGCAAGGAGGCAGCCGCCCAAG
rnacentral:rRNA from 1 species